UGAAACCAUUUAAAGAUGUAAUGCUGGCUUUGGAAGGAGACUCUGUGACUCUCUCCUGCAACUAUUCAGUUUCUGUCUACAACCUCUACUGGUAUCAACAGAAGUCCAGUUCAUCUCCACAGUUGUUUCUCGCAGAAUAUUCAAAGAAACCAGGGUUUUCUUUUGCACAUGACAAAACAGCAAAGGAGUUUCAUCUGCAGAUCUCCUCUGCUGCAGUGACAGACUCUGCUGUGUACUACUGUGCUGUGAGGCCCACAGUGACAGGAAACACCAAAACUCUGUACAAAAACCUUUGGAGCAAAGACAACAGAAUACUCCACAACGUCCACUAGAGGGAGUCACACACAGUGCACUGCAAUAGUCCAGGUGUGAAAAGAUAAAGGACAUAGCUGAUUUUAUUUUGGUAAUAUUUCUAAGGUGGAAGUAGCAGGAUUAAAUGUUACAACUAGAUUUCUGGCUGGAGAUUUUCAAUUGGUUGUCAGUGGACCAAUAAACGGUUGUUGUUUGCUUA